UCUCCGUUGGUGAACCAGCGGAGGGAUCAUUAUCGAGUUUAUAACUCCCAAACCCUAUGUGAACUUACCACUUGUUGCUUCGGCGCGCGCUUCGGCGCCGCCGAGGACACUUAAACUCUUUGUUUUUAUAAGCAUUUCUGAGUGGCCGAAAGGCAAAAUACAAAUGAAUCAAAACUUACAACAACGGAUCUCUUGGUUCUG
rnacentral:misc_RNA from 1 species